rnacentral:rRNA from 1 species
CCUGAUGCAGCAACGCCGUGUGAGCGAUGAAGGCCUUAGGGUCGUAAAGCUCUGUUGUUAGGGACGAAGGGCGAAGGGUUAAUAGCCCUUAGCCUGACGGUACCUUUCGAGGAAGCCCCGGCUAACUACGUGCCAGCAGCCGCGGUAAUACGUAGGGGGCGAGCGUUGUCCGGAAUUAUUGGGCGUAAAGGGCGCGUAGGCGGCCUGGUAAGUCUGCUGUGAAACCUUGGGGCUCAA